rnacentral:rRNA from 1 species
AUAUCAAUAAGCGGAGGAAAAGAAACUAACAAGGAUUCCCCUAGUAACUGCGAGUGAAGCGGGAAAAGCUCAAAUUUAAAAUCUGGCGGUCCUUGCGGCUGUCCGAGUUGUAAUCUGGAGAAGUGCUUUCCGUGCUGGACCGUGUACAAGUCUCUUGGAACAGAGCGUCGUAGAGGGUGAGAAUCCCGUCUUUGACACGGACUACCAGUGCUUUGUGAUGCGCUCUCAAAGAGUCGAGUUGUUUGGGAAUGCAGCUCAAAAUGGGUGGUAAAUUCCAUCUAAAGCUAAAUAUUGGCGAGAGACCGAUAGCGAACAAGUACCGUGAGGGAAAGAUGAAAAGAACUUUGGAAAGAGAGUUAAACAGUACGUGAAAUUGCUGAAAGGGAAACACUUGAAGUCAGUCGCGUUGGCCGGAACUCAGCCUUGCUUUUGCUUGGUGCACUUUCUGGUUGACGGGUCAGCAUCAGUUUUGAUUGUCGGAUAAUGGUCGAGGGAAUGUGGCAUCUUCGGAUGUGUUAUAGCCCUUGGUCGCAUACGAUGGUUGGGACUGAGGAUCUCAGCACACCUUUAUGGUCGGGGUUCGCCCACGUUUGUGCUUAGGAUGCUGGCAUAAUGGCUUUAAAUGACCCGUCUUGAAACACGGACCAAGGAGUCUAACAUGCAUGCGAGUGUUUGGGUGGAAAACCCGAGCGCGUAAUGAAAGUGAAAGUUGAGACCUCUGUCGUGGAGGGCAUCGACGCCCGGACCAGACCUUCUGUGACGGCUCUGCGGUAGAGCAUGUAUGUUGGGACCCGAAAGAUGGUGAACUAUGCCUGAAUAGGGUGAAGCCAGAGGAAACUCUGGUGGAGGCUCGUAGCGAUUCUGACGUGCAAAUCGAUCGUCAAAUUUGGGUAUAGGGGCGAAAGACUAAUCGAACCAUCUAGUAGCUGGUUCC